rnacentral:snoRNA from 1 species
GUGAAGUCGCUUCACCUCGCUGAGCGGUGACGACUCCUUUAAGAACGGA